GGCCUCUCCGCCGCCGAUGCUCUUCGGUGUGGCCUCGCCCUCAUCUCCACUACUGGGGUUUGCUGUCGCGAAGCUGGUAGGAUGGCAGUGUCCUGCUACCCUGGCAUCCUCCGAUGCGCUGCUGUGCUGAAUUACUGGUAGGGUGUGGUUGUGGUGGUGAGGAUGGAAUGGUGGUGCUGGUUCUGGUGCUGGUGGUGUUGCUGUGACGCCUUCCUCGACUCCGACCUUGACACCGACGGGACGGUGCCGCGGACACAACCUCGGCGUCGACUACACCGUUUCGCCUGCCUCCUCUACAGAGCACUGUGAUCAAGUUAAACAAGAUGGUCUAGGAACGUGGACGAAGGUUAUGAGCUUCAAGAUUUAAUUGUAGAAUUAUUUCCCUUUUUCUUGUGUUUUGGAUUUGUAAUUUAUAUUCCUUUUUUCUAUGUUAUUAUUUAAGACUUGUGAAUAUUUAUACCUUAUAUAUAAUUAAGAAUUCCAUUCUUUA